AUCCGUAAUAGAGGUUGCAGAGGACACGAGUAGUUUUCCGGGAAAUUCCCCGCUAGGGAUCGGAUAAUGAAAAGGGACUUUGCCGAAGUCAUCAGCGUUAGCGGGCACUGCAUGAUUGAGACGCGGCUCAAUAGGCCACGGAUUGUCACAGUAAUGUGGAGUGCUAGGACGGAC
rnacentral:ncRNA from 2 species